rnacentral:tmRNA from 2 species
GGGAGUGACUUGGCUUCGACAGGAGUAAGUCUGCUUAGAUGGCAUGUCGCUUUGGGCAAAGCGUAAAAAGCCCAAAUAAAAUUAAACGCAAACAACGUUAAAUUCGCUCCUGCUUACGCUAAAGCUGCGUAAGUUCAGUUGAGCCUGAAAUUUAAGUCAUACUAUCUAGCUUAAUUUUCGGUCAUUUUUGAUAGUGUAGCCUUGCGUUUGACAAGCGUUGAGGUGAAAUAAAGUCUUAGCCUUGCUUUUGAGUUUUGGAAGAUGAGCGAAGUAGGGUGAAGUAGUCAUCUUUGCUAAGCAUGUAGAGGUCUUUGUGGGAUUAUUUUUGGACAGGGGUUCGAUUCCCCUCGCUUCCACCA